AUCUGAUACGAUUAAGGAGAUUGC
rnacentral:siRNA from 1 species